rnacentral:rRNA from 1 species
AUUGAACGCUGGCGGCAUGCUUUACACAUGCAAGUCGAACGGCAGCGCGGGCUUCGGCCUGGCGGCGAGUGGCGAACGGGUGAGUAAUACAUCGGAACGUGCCCAGUAGUGGGGGAUAGCUCGGCGAAAGCCGGAUUAAUACCGCAUACGACCUGAGGGUGAAAGCGGGGGAUCUUCGGACCUCGCGCUAUUUGAGCGGCCGAUGGCAGAUUAGCUAGUUGGUGGGGUAAAGGCCUACCAAGGCGACGAUCUGUAGCUGGUCUGAGAGGGCGACCAGCCACACUGGGACUGAAACACGGCCCAGACUCCUACGGGAGGCAGCAGUGGGGAAUUUUGGGCAAAGGGCGAAAGCCUGAUCCAGCAAUGCCGCGUGUGUGAUGAAGGCCUUCGGGUUGUAAAGCACUUUUGGCGGGAACGAAAAGGACUGUGCCAAUACCACGGUUCAAUGACGGUACCCGCAGAAUAAGCACCGGCUAACUACGUG